rnacentral:rRNA from 1 species
AGAUAAGCCAUGCAUGUCUAAGUAUAGCAAUUAUACCGUGAAACUGCGAAUGGCUCAUUAAAUCAGUUAUCGUUUAUUUGAUAAUACCUUACUACUUGGAUAACCGUGGUAAUUCUAGAGCUAAUACAUGCUGAAAAUCCCGACUUCGGAAGGGAUGUGUUUAUUAGAUAAAAAACCAAUGCCCUUCGGGGCUUUUUGGUGAUUCAUGAUAACUUUACGGAUCGCAUAGCCUUGCGCUGGCGACGGUUCAUUCAAAUUUCUGCCCUAUCAACUUUCGAUGGUAAGGUAUUGGCUUACCAUGGUUUCAACGGGUAACGGGGAAUUAGGGUUCGAUUCCGGAGAGGGAGCCUGAGAAACGGCUACCACAUCCAAGGAAGGCAGCAGGCGCGCAAAUUACCCAAUCCCGACACGGGGAGGUAGUGACAAUAAAUACUGAUACAGGGCUCUUUUGGGUCUUGUAAUUGGAAUGAGUACAAUUUAAACCUCUUAACGAGGAACAAUUGGAGGGCAAGUCUGGUGCCAGCAGCCGCGGUAAUUCCAGCUCCAAUAGCGUAUAUUAAAGUUGUUGCAGUUAAAAAGCUCGUAGUUGAAACUUGGGCCUGGCUGGCGGGUCCGCCUCACCGCGUGCACUCGUCCGGCCGGGCCUUCCUUCUGAAGAACCUCAUGCCCUUCACUGGGCGUGCUGGGGAAUCAGGACUUUUACUUUGAAAAAAUUAGAGUGUUCAAAGCAGGCCUUUGCUCGAAUACGUUAGCAUGGAAUAAUAAAAUAGGGCGUGCGUUUCUAUUUUGUUGGUUUCUAGAGACGCCGCAAUGAUUAACAGGAACAGUCGGGGGCAUCAGUAUUCAGUUGUCAGAGGUGAAAUUCUUGGAUUUACUGAAGACUAACUACUGCGAAAGCAUUUGCCAAGGAUGUUUUCAUUAAUCAGUGAACGAAAGUUAGGGGAUCGAAGACGAUCAGAUACCGUCGUAGUCUUAACCGUAAACUAUGCCGACUAGGGAUCGGGCGAUGUUCUUUUUCUGACUCGCUCGGCACCUUACGAGAAAUCAAAGUUUUUGGGUUCUGGGGGGAUUAUGGUCGCAAGGCUGA